GACGAACGCUGGCGGCGUGCUUAACACAUGCAAGUCGAACGGAAAGGCCCUGCUUUUGUGGGGUGCUCGAGUGGCGAACGGGUGAGUAACACGGGAGUAACCUGCCCUUGACUUUGGGAUAACUUCAGGAAGCUGGGGCUAAUACCGGAUAGGAGCUCCUGCUGCAGGGGGGGGGUUGGAAAGUUUCGGCGGUUGGGGAUGGACUCGCGGCUUAUCAGCUUGUUGGUGGGGUAGUGGCUUACCAAGGCUUUGACGGGUAGCCGGCCUGAGAGGGUGACCGGCCACAUUGGGACUGAGAUACGGCCCAGACUCCUACGGGAGGCAGCAGUGGGGAAUAUUGCACAAUGGGCGGAAGCCUGAUGCAGCAACGCCGCGUGCGGGAUGACGGCCUUCGGGUUGUAAACCGCUUUCGCCUGUGACGAAGCGUGAGUGACGGUAAUGGGUAAAGAAGCACCGGCUAACUACGUG
rnacentral:rRNA from 1 species